AUACUUACCUGGACGGGAUCACUGAGUGAUCAAUAAGACUCAUGGUUUAGGUUGGUGGCUUCUUAUUCACUUUGGAGGGUGCUAGCCUAAGGUUGGUCCAAGUUGUCGAACCUAUGUCAUAAUUUGUGAUACUGGGGGCUGUGUUCGUCCUGCCCCUA